UACGUAGGGAGCAAGCGUUGUCCGGAAUCAUUGGGCGUAAAGCGCGCGUAGGCGGCCUCAUAAGUCCGUUGUGAAAGUCAAAGGCUCAACCCUGGAAAGCGGGUGGAUACUGCCGGGCUAGAAUCCGGAAGAGGCGAGUGGAAUUCCUGGUGUAGCGGUGGAAUGCGCAGAUAUCAGGAGGAACACCAAUAGCGAAGGCAGCUCGCUGGGACGGUAUUGACGCUAAGGCGCGAAAGCGUGGGGAGCAAACAGG
rnacentral:rRNA from 1 species